AUUAACCACACCCUGCAGGCUGAGGCGGGCAGGCUGAGGCGGGCAGGCUGGGGGCUGAGGAGACGCUCCUUCCCUGCAUUCCAUGGACAUGGUGCCUUGGGCCAGGCUGCAGAGGCCGCAGGGCCUGGCAUGUGCCCCGUGAAACUGGCCCUGCAGUGAGGCGGGGGCAGUGGGGAUGGAUGAACUCAUUCUUUCCUCGUCUGAGGCUGCUCUGAUCGUAAAACCGUGGACGCUGAGCAAAUGGCCCCAGAUGGGGAAACUGAGACCCAAAAUGAAGGGCGCAGUCGCCGAGUCAGCCAGUGACAGAGCUGGGGCUUCACUCCCGCUUCUCGAUUCUCAGCUCCCAUCCUCGUCCCUCUGCCUUUUAUGGAGCAGCAUGGAAGGAAUCAAAAACAGGCAGAGAACUUCAGGGGCCACUCUGGGCUGCUGUGAGUGAAGACUAGAGUUUGUGGGUGCAGUGCCUCCGGCUGCAGCUCUCCAGGCCCACACAGACCUGCUCCUGACACUCCUGGGGGUGCGCUGCCUGGGGGUCUUCCCUCCCCAGCCCUUCCCCAAGAUGUUCCUUGGCCCCAAGCAAAUUAUCUCCCUGCUCUUCCAUGUAGGGACUAGAGGGUCCUGCACUCCUCAGGCCACCCAGGAACCAGUUCCCCCUUGCCCCACUAGCCUAACAUGUGAAUAGCCAAGAGGGACCACUCAAAGGACAGUUUCCUGAACAAAGAAGACCUGUUCUUAACCAGCUGGAUAAAGAAGGAGCUGAUGGCAACUUUUAUUAAAAAGAAAGAAAAGUUCCGAACCAGGAAACUUGCCAUACACCCAUUCGCCAGAUGACAACAUUGAGAUUACUCACUUCUUGAAAGAGCCCAGCCUCUAGCACUGGACAUUUAUCACAAAGCAUUUCCUUCUUGCGUUGGGCAUUCCUCUCUUGCUAGGAGGAACUGAGACUUCCCGUCCCCAGUCCCAGCCCUGAGGCCAUGCAGCCUAGGGGUGGCUGGAUUGAGCACUGCUUACUGGAUUCAGGCCAGAGACUGCCACAUUUUGUCCUCUGCUGCCUGGGUUAGGGAGACCUCUCCCUGUCAACUCAGGGGCAUGGCAGGAGCGGGGCUGGAACAGUCUCUGCAGUCAGUUCCCUCCUGGACCACCGACGCUGGGAAUGCAAGGGGUGGGUAGUUUGGUCUGUGCUUAUGUGUUGAUAUUGUGAGAUCAUUUGAGAGAAUUAAAUAUAUUUUCCCAGAUGGAAAGAAAAGGAAAAGGAAGGGGAUGUUGAGUGUGGGAGCUGUUCAUUCUUUCCAGCUUCUCUCCUUUCCCGCCAUCCCACCCCACCUGUGGACCUGUGUUUGGCAUUAGGGCACUCCUCUGUGCUUUGCUGGAUUCUGAUAGGGAGCACAGCCUGGUGUGGGGGGUGGGAGGACGGAUGGUCUGCAUCUUCCCUUCCCCUGCUCCAGUCCUUAGGCCAGUGCUUUCUGCACUGGGGGGUCAGGGGACAUUGAAGGUGCCAGUCCAAAUGCCAGUCAACACUGUGGGCAGGCCUGGCCAACACUGUCUGUGGAUGCCAGACUCUGGGAAGAGAAGCACCCACGCUCAGAGAUGGCCCACUCUCACUGGGCUCACAGCCAAACACACCCAGUUUUCUGGCCUCGGGCUGGGUGGGACAAGUGUAUAUCUCACCUGACAAGCCCUGUGAGCCUGACAAAUGGAGGGAAAAAGCCACGACAGCAGCACCUCCCAGUGAUCCGGAAGCUGGAGGAGGAGCAAGAGGACACAGGGUCUCUCCAAAAGGCAGAAGUGCGGGGGAGUGGCCUGGACAUUGUAGAGCUGGGACAGCCAAGUCCCAGGGCAAGGGCACCAGGGGACAUGGAGGAGUCCUUCCCUUGGGCCUCUCCAGAGAGGCUGCCUGGAGUUUUCACAGUUCACAAAUGAGCAGAGGAAAUUGUCCAUGCGAACAGCCCUUAGGGGAUCUCCCAGAGAGGUGUCUCGGGUGCUAGGGGAAGCCCAAACACCCCACUUCAGUUUUCACGUAGGAGGAGGAGAAGGCAAUGACUUGUCUUGAAGCAGCCGCUGCCCAGCAAGCACACGAUUUUUAUUUAAAUUGAAGGUUUAUUUGGAGUGGGCUUGGGGGAGUACUUCUCAUGCACACACUUUUUCUGUCUCCUCAUUUCCCCAGCCCAAUCCUCCCCACAUUCCUCUGCCUUCCCGCCUCCCAUUUUAUUAGGUGUCAGUUGUCUGCUCCAAACCUUCAGUAGCUCCCAUUUGUGAUAAGGUGAAGUCCAAAUCCCAUAGCCUGCAUUCAAGUUCUUCCACGGUUAGGGUGGACAUACACCCCACUUUGUUUUGGAUGAUCUAGUUUAUAUCUGCUGUCUUGGCAUAAUAAUUCAUAGCACCCUGCUUCAUGCAAAAAUGUAUCCCAGUUUGGAGAAUAAAUGAUGUGGUCCACCCGUGUACAGUCCACUCCCAACCUCAUGCUCCAGGCUAAUGGCCAACUGUCUCUCUUGAAUCCUCUGAGUCAGUGGUUUUGAACUCUGGUUGCUCAUUAGAAUCACCUGGGGAGCUUUUAAUAAAUAUCACUACUUAGACUCACCCCCAAAACAGGUCAAAUAAAACAGAAUCUCUAGGGGCAGGACCCAGCCUUUGGUAUUUUUUUAAGCAUCCAGAUGACUCUGAUGUGCAGCCAGGGUGGAGAACAACUGACCUCAGUAAAACAGGUGUCCUGGAACUCUGUCCCUGAGCCCAUCUUACACAUUUCUGUCCCUAGUUUUUGGUAACUUGCUCCCAUUGUCUAUCCGCCAUUUAACUCUUUCUUUUCCUCUGUGUGUGGUCUUUCAUUCAUUCUUUAAGUCCUACCCAAGCUGCUAAGCCUAGCUCCAAUGCUGCCUCCUCCUACAUCUUUCCUGACCUCUUAGCCAGAAAGGGUCUUCCUCUCUACCCACUACUGCCCCCUCCCUCCCCCACUAUUGAAUGUCAUCUAUGAUCCACGCCCUGUUUUGCCUUCUUCACAGUCUAUGAGCUCCAUGGCAUGGGUCAUGUCUGAUUAAUCUCUGGAGACCCCAGGGCCCAGACCCAACUUACAGUAAAGCCUCUCACACCUGAGUGAGUGACUAUCACUGCUGGUCCUGAACUUGGGCAGCGUCAUCCACCCCGACACGGGGCACCAGCACAUGCUGCCUCUACAAGUUAAGUUUCUUUUCCUGUGUGCGGGCUUUCAUUCAUUCAUUCACUCACUCAUUCUGCUUUGUGCCAGGCGCUGUGUUCUCCAUCACCUCUUCUUGAUUUCCUGUACUAUUGGAGAACUGUCCUUUCUCUCUCAUGUCCAUCCCCUGGACAGCCCUGCAGACUGUCUUGCAUAUAAACGGUACUCAGUAUUGAUUGAUAAUCAACUGACGAAUAGAUAAACAAAAGUGGUGUGUCCUUACAAUGAAAUAUUAUUCAGCCAUGAAAAGGAAAUGAAGUACUGAUACAUGCUACAAUAUGAAUAACCCUAAAAACAUUAUUCUAAGUGAAAGAAGCCAGGAACAAAAGACCACAUAAACUGUAUGCUAUCAUUUACAUGCAAAGUACAGAAUAGACAAAUCCAUAGAGACAAAAAGUAGAUUAGUGGUUGCCAAGGGCUAGAAGAAGGGGGAAAUUAAGAUUAACUUUUGUUUUGUUUUGAGACAGAGUCUUGCUCUGUCGCCCAGGCUGGAGUGCAGUGGCCUGAUCUUGGAUCACUGCAACCUCCGCCUCCCAGGUUCAAGCAAUUCUCCUGCCUCAGCCCCCUGAGUAGCUGGGAUUACAGGUGUGUGCCACCAUGCCUGGCUAAUUUUUUUUUUUUUUUUGUAUUUUUAGUAAAGACAGGGUUUCGCCAUGUUGGUCAGGCUGGUCUCAAACUCCUGACCUCAAGUGAUCCGCCCACCUCAGCCUCCCAAAUUGUUGGGAUUAUAGGCGUGAGCCACAGCUCCUGGCCAGGACUAGCUGUUAAUA
rnacentral:lncRNA from 1 species